AUCACCUACCAUGCGGCGGUCCUCCCCCUACCAAAAUGGGCGCUCAAGAAGAUGGACAAGUUGGCUCGGAAUUUUAUUUGGAGCGCUGAUGACAAUGACAAUACCGGUGCGGGGCGCUCCCUAGUAAAUUGGAAAUUGGUAUGCACCCCCAAAAACUUGGGUGGACUUGGGGUGAUUGACCUGGAGCGCUUUGGAUCGGCAUUGCGGCUGCGAUGGCCUUGGUACGAGUGGGUAGACCCUAACCGGCCAUGGGUGGGCACCGACCUGCCCUGCACUGAAUCUGACAUGGCGCUAUUCCGGGCCUCCGCGACUAUCACCAUCGGAGAUGGGAAGCGUGCCGGUUUCUGGAAGGAUAAAUGGAUCUGUGAUUCUCCGCUAUGCACUCGUGCCCCUAAGCUCUACAAGAUUGCUACAAGAAAGAAUAGGACGGUUUGUGAAGAUCUGGAGGAGGAUUGCUGGAUUACUGUCAUUGCCCGGUUGAGCACUGUCGUCCAGCUCUGUGAAUUCCUCGACAUUUGGCAGCUUGUACAUACCACCGGCAUUGACCCCUCCCGUCCAGACUCCAUCCGCUGGAACUUGACGGGUUCAGGGGAAUACUCCAGCAAGUCUACCUACCGUAUGCAGUUCUCUGGUCGCUUGGUGCCUUUCCGCUUUGCUAAGGUUUGGAAAGCACAUGCCACCCCCAAAUGCAAGCUCUUCGCCUGGCUUGUCCUGCAUGGAAGGAUCCUCACGGCAAGAAACCUAGCAAUCUGUGGAUGGCCACACAAUCCGAUAUGCCGCCUUUGCAUGGCAUCCAAUGAGACGGUCACUCAUCUCUGUAGAGAUUGCCCCUUCUCGCAGGCGGUCUGGAGGACCGUCAACGCCGCGGAGGGAAUGCCUAACCCAAGCCCACCGGACGAUGGAACCUCCAUCAACACGUGGUGGAAGGGCUUCCUUGCCAGUGUUCCAGCUCAGAAUAGGCGGGAGCAUAGUGGUGCCAUGAUCUACACGCUCUGA
rnacentral:rRNA from 1 species